rnacentral:rRNA from 1 species
AUUGAACGCUGGCGGCAUGCCUUACACAUGCAAGUCGAACGGCAGCACGGGUGCUUGCACCUGGUGGCGAGUGGCGAACGGGUGAGUAAUACAUCGGAACAUGUCCUGUAGUGGGGGAUAGCCCGGCGAAAGCCGGAUUAAUACCGCAUACGAUCUACGGAUGAAAGCGGGGGACCUUCGGGCCUCGCGCUAUAGGGUUGGCCGAUGGCUGAUUAGCUAGUUGGUGGGGUAAAGGCCUACCAAGGCGACGAUCAGUAGCUGGUCUGAGAGGACGACCAGCCACACUGGGACGGAGACACGGCCCAGGCUCCUACGGGAGGCAGCAGUGGGGAAUUUUGGACAAUGGGCGAAAGCCUGAUCCAGCAAUGCCGCGUGUGUGAAGAAGGCCUUCGGGUUGUAAAGCACUUUUGUCCGGAAAGAAAUCCUUGGCCCUAAUACGGUCGGGGGAUGACGGUACCGGAAGAAUAAGCACCGGCUAACUACGUG